CACGUCUCCACUCCUCGCGUCCACGUCCGCAGUCCCCAUCCUCUCGCAGUGGCGACUCCUUUCCCGUCGCCGGUGUCCCGUCGCCGCCGCUCCCCUACCCGUCCCCUUCUCCUCCUACUCCUCUCUGACGCGCCUUAACACCACGCGUCGCCUCCGCUCGCCAUCCCCGUCCCCUUCUCCUCCUCUCCGCCAUAACCAGAACAUCUCCAACUCCACACCAACUCUGGAUCCGUGAGAAAGAUUGAUUUUUUUCGACAUUUUUCACGAAUCCGGUGGCGAUGAUGCGAGAUCAGGUGGCGGCUGCCUCGAAUCCCCCUUGGUUGGAGUCAGCAGCGACCAGGGGGAGCGGCGCGGCGAGGUUGCCGCUGCUGCUGUGGACCUUGCUGUCGAGCGUCUCGGGCACGCGCCGCACGCUGCCCUUGUCCUCGGCGACGGCUGCGGGCGUGGCGGGCGGCUGCGAGACGGUGGUGCUGCGGCUUGUCGGUGGCGGCGACGAGGAUGGCCUUCUCGACCACCUCGCAGAUGCCGGCGCCCGCGCCCCGGAAGAAUUCGCGCCACCGGUCCAGCCCGUCCGCCAUGGCCGCCGCCGCCGGCAUGGCCAUCGGGAUCAUCGGGGACGCAGGGGUCAGAAUGUUGUUGGUGGUGGUGCUGUGUACUCGUAGAUGGUGGUGGCUGAAUGCAGUAAGGGUUCAUUCUUGGUCAGUAGGAUAAUGGUAUGCUAGUACGGAGAGAACAUCAACCGCAAUGAAUUUAAUGAGGCAUGAUACUUCUGUUUUUGAAGAAAAAGCAAAUCAUCCCAUACUGUAUCUGAAAUUCUAAAUGUAGCCUACAGUAUGAGUUCAUUAUCAUAGAAUGGACAUGCUAGUGCUGGCUUAAUUAAUUGGUGUGAGAUUUCAUUAUCAUAGUCCUUCGUUAAGGGUCCUCAUGAGUUAUGCCCCAAUUACACUGUCUAAAAGGAUUUUUUACAUUCCAAGCUGAGCUUCUUCAGUUUUAGUUCAUGCCCAAGAUGAGCAAAUGUCACACUUUACAAGUUUGUUGUCUAUUGAUGAUUCUUACGGUGCUCAAACGGUUUGACAUUUAUAGUACGAGUAUGAAACAAAGAAAUUCACCUGUUCAGUGUUUUUCGUCCUCAUUUUUAACAGAUUCGACUGAAACUUUCAGCUAGCAAGUUAGUUAAAUAGCGUCUGUGUGUUAAGUUUCAACAUGAGCUUAGCAAUACCACCGUGAAUUGUUCUAGAUGAUCCACACAGUAGCAUAAAUAAUGGCCGUAGAUGAAUUGUUGUAGAUGAUCCAUAAAUAACUUAAAACAACGGAGUAUUGCAUAACUUAAAACAAACUCGGGGUGAGAAGAUCCAAAACGGAGGACGUAUCGAUCGAAUGGCAGCUGCUUGGCUGUUCCGCCUGUUUGUUGAUCAUGGAACUGAUGGUUUGUAGUGGUACUACUGCAAUACUACCACACCACUUUCCUCACAACAGCACCCAUUGCGGAUCAUGCUCGAUGUUUGUGGUGGUACUUUGUGAUUUGUUCUCCUCACACUCUGUGAUUUUUGCUUCUGACGAGUCAUUGCAAGUUCAUUACUGGCAACCACCUCUUAUAAAGCAAUAUUUUGGUGUUAAAAGGAUGUACGGACAAAAUACUUCCGUACCCUCAUAAUUUCUGUUGGUUGCUUCACACCACAUUAUAUUCUUAACAUUCAACAACUGCCAUAUGGUUCAGCACCUCACAAUCCCUUCAUGGUGAACAUAUCUUGCUUGCACUCCUACUAUGAAUAUUUUUUACAGAGUACUCCUAAUAUGAAUAUUUUGAGACUGAUGUUGUACUAGUCCUUCCACUAGUACAGCACAUGAUGUACUCCACAUAACUUAAAACUACGGAGUAUUUGACUGUUGCAUAUAUACAGCAGGUUCCACAUAACUUAAAACUACGGAGUAUUGCAUAACUUAAAACUACUCAAGAUGCUUCUUGUGCUGCUUCUGCUUUUUGUUUUGCUCUUGCUUCUGCCUCUUCUAUCAACUGCUUAAGCUGCUGUGCUUUUGCUUCUUUGCUGCUUGUGCUAUUCUCAAUAGCUUGUGCUUCUUCUAUAAUUUUUAAUGUAUCUGCAACUAGAUCAACCUUGCAAGUAAGAAAGAUAGGGAGUCUUCCUUCCUUUAUCCUUUUAUCUUUACCCAUGUGUUGGAUGUCAUAGCAAUUCCCUCCUUGCUUCUUCAUAGUCUCUCUCAAGCAUGUUUGCAAUGUUAGAAAGCUUUUAGAUAGCUUAUCCACCUCAUAGUUCUCAAAUUCUUCCUCCACUGCUUCAAUCAGUUCUCUAAUAUUUUUAGGUGCUCUGCAGUCGGUGAGAGAUUGAAUAGACCGAAAGAAGCAUAGAUCUAGAAUGUUCAUAUCAGGACUAUUAGGUGGUUGUUGCAGUAACACAAUGUUCAGGUCAGUUUGUGCAACAACUUGUAGGAAAAUAGGGUCGUUAGCCUUGAUGUGUGGGGUGGCAUUGUCUUGUUGUAUAUAGAUAGUUCUUCCUGCGUCCUCAUCUGGCCACUUGUCUAGUAUAGCAGGGAUUACUUUAUUGCACAUGAAAUCUCUCAUUACAUCUCUGUUAACUUUCAUUGAUUUGAGUUCAAGAGUACCCUUUUCCCUGUUUUCGCUUCUUCUAACAGCUGCUGUUUCAGUGACAAAUGGCCAUGUGCCUAUUUUUCCAUCAAAAGUGCAAACCUUUAUUCCAUCAACAAUGGCAAACCUUGGCUUAGCCACAGUAGUUAAAAACAUAACCUUCCCUAUACUGUUCUUAUUAUGCACUGUCCGAUAUGGGGUAGGCUCUCCAGGGACUAGAUAGUACACAUUGUUUUUCUGUGUCAAGUCAAACCAUUUUUCGUCGAUAUGGACAAAAUUGUCCAUUUCCUUGAAGAAAACACUCAUAUCUGUCAUUGUGCACUCUUGGAGCAUAAACAUACAGAACUUCAGUCUUUCAAUUCUGUUAGCUGGCUUUAGAGCUGGCUUCAAAGUGUUUGAGCAGCGAUUUAGUUCACCCCAUUCUAACCUUCUGUGCAAGGUUGUUCGAAUAACAUUGAGUUCCCUUGCUAGAGCUCUGACUGUUUUUCUUCUAUUCAAUGGGAUUGAGGUUACCCUGGAGAGCUCUAGAUCUUUUCUCUUACGUCCAACUCUGCCUUUUUCUUCGAUGAAACAUCUACUUCUUGCCCUGCUGCAAUUUGUUGUCGUGCUUCUUUCCAGAUUUUUUCAACUGUACUUAGACUUGUCUUUAAUAGACCAGCAACAAGCUCCUUGUCUUUUUUAUCCACCUUUCCAUCUCUGGUCUGUAUAAAUUGCAUUGCAAAGAAAGCUCCAAAUCUUGCUUGGUCUGAUAGGUCUUUUCCAGAUGGCUGCCCAACACCUCCUGCAUCAUUGACUACAUGGCCGUUAUCUUCUUCGAGUACUUCCACUUCAACAAUGAUGGAACUGCAUGACAAGAAGAACAGAUAAGUACUGAUGAUGAUGCUUGUGCAAAUCUGAUGAUGUUUAUGCUUAUGCUUGCUUGCAAUAUUUGAGUUACUCAAUUCUUAGUCUUAGUUUCUUGUGUUGAAAUUGUUAUACUCCAUGAAAGUAAAUUUGCUCUAUUGCUGUGAAGGCUUAUCGGUACUUGGUUAAUACUCCAUCGCCGCAAUUCAGGAGUACAAUGUGCCAUCUCCUGGUUCCUCACGCCCAUCUCCGGUGAGCUUUUGCGGUGGGGACUAAUCUUCUCGUGUAUUCGCAGUGGUUUGCCCAGCCAACGCCUCUCCGGUAAACUGUCGCCUGGCAUCGGCAACCUCACAAGACUGCAAUCUGUGCUAUUGCAGAACAACGCGAUUUCUGGCACUAUUCCUGCCACCAUAGGCAGGCUGGGGAUGCUAAAGACACUUGACAUGUCAGACAAUCAUCUUAUCCGGAGUUCAGUUGGGGAUCUCAAGAACUUUCAGAAUAUAACCUUGAUGAGCUGCCGCUGCCGGAUGAAGAUGAGCUGCCGCUGCCGGAUGAAGACGAGCUGCCGCUGCCAGAUGAAGACGAGCUGUCGGAUGAAGGACGUGGCGCUGGAGGCUGGCGAGCUUGAAUAAGGGGAGGCGGGCGGCGGAGCCAAUCUGAAGCAAGCGGUUCUCCAGGAGGGUGUCGACGAGGAGGAGGCGGAGGCGGGUGGCGGAGCUGUCGCUCCGGCAGCUGUCGAGCAGGACGGGCCCGAGAAGAAGCAGGUGGAGGAGGCUGUCGAGCAGGAGGGGGCCGAGGAGAAGCAGGCGGAGGCGGGUGGCGGUGUUGCCGCUCCAGCAGCUGUCUAGCAGGAGGUGUCUGAGGAGAACCAGGCGGAGGCGCGUGGUGGAGCUGCCGCUCCAGCAGCUGUCGAGCAGGAGGUGGGCGAGGAGAACCAGGUGGAGGUGCCUGGUGGAGCUGCCGCCCCAGCAGCUGUCGAGCAGGAGCUGGGGGAGGACAACCAGGCACAGGCGCGUGGUGGAGCUGCCGCUCCAGCAGGGUGGAGAGCAUGGCGUUGCUCCGGAGGCUGACGAUCGAUCGAUUCCAGCUGACGAUCGAAUCGAUCGUUCCAGCUCCAGAUUACAGGCAGAGGUGCCUGGUGGAGCUGCCGCUCCAGCAGCUGACGAUCGGGUGGUGGAGCUGCCGCUCCAGCUGACGAUCGAUCGAUCGAUUCCGUCUGGACGGCGAAUGGAUCUGGGACUGACCGAUCAGAUCUGGGAGUUCUUUUUUGUUAUGUUUUGAAAUAUGCAGGACUAGACUGUAAAAUGACAUCUGUGAAACGUUUUCCUCCCCCAAGUUAAUUAAAAAGGGACGGAGGGAUUAUAUUGUAAGAAAUAUGUUCUAGAGGCAAUCAAAGAGUUCAUUGAGUUCAUGCUAAUA